CAUGUAUUUCACAGGUGCAGGGUUUUACACAGUCUUUUAAAAAUGGGAGUCAUGGCGACUCACAAUAUUUAUUUUUGGGAGUCAUUUUCAAUAUUUGUGAGUCAUGAAAAUUUAAUAUUUCUUUGUGUUAAUCAUUCUCAGUAUGU